UGACCUCAGAAGAUGGAGAAGAAUUCUGCUCAUGAAUUGGCAGAAUUCACAUAGGAAAAAUGAUCAUUUUAAUGAAACCAGGCUUCAUAUUCAAUGUAAUCCUAAUCAAAAUUCCAACUGAAUUCUUCAAAGAGUUAGAAAGAGCAAUUCUCAAAUUCAUUUGGAGUAACAAAAUCCCAUGAUAGCAAAAACCGUUCUUAACAAUAAUCAAACUUCUGAGAAAAUCACUGUCCUUGAGCUCAAGCUGUAUUAUAAAGAAAUAGUAAUAAAAACUGCACGGUAUUGAUAGCCAAAUGUUUGUAGACUUAUUGUAUAACCUAGAUUAUUAAUAGAAUUCCCUCUUUGCAUUUUCAGGAGCAAUUCGUAAUCUCCAUCAAUGCAAAGGCUUUUGAAGAUGGGAUUACUGUAUGUUGUCUGUUUUCUUGACAUGUUCUGAUGGUGUUUUCAGAAGAAAGACCUCCUGAUGUUAGAGGCUAGAAUACUGCAAUGUGUUGAAGAAAGAAGAUUGAAGGUGGUCAUUGUGAUCCUCUGAGAACAAGAUCAGAAAGAAUGUUCAGACCAUAGCACAUUUCCUCCUAAAGAGCUGGGGAUAUGACUGUGGAGAUUGUAUCUCAGAAACAUAAGGAGAUAUGUGAAACUGCCUAUUUCCCACUCAUUUCCCUGGGAGGAAUAGCCAUUAGUUAGCAAGGGGUACAUGGUGGAGUUAGGUUGGGGGUCAAAGCAACAAUCUAGGUGUGAAAAGUUAGAAGGAGGAGGUCUGUGGGAGUCACAGAAGAUGGAAGCAGGGUGGCAGGGAAAACUGCCACAAGUGUUUUGAUGCAGAGCUGGGGAUGAGUCUGAGGAGUUAGAUCUGAAGGAACAAUGGAAGAAGAAAUGUCUCUGUGAAACAUUUUUUAUUUUCUGGCAUGCCUGGCCUAUGGGUUAACAGGAGUUGCUUGGUGGAUUUGGGGACUGUGAAAAAGCAAUUAGUGGUAAAAGAAAAAUUAAAAGUGGAAGACUGACCCUAUCCACAAUAGAUAGGAGAGAUCAGGAAAGGCUUUCCCAAAGUGUUCUGUUGCAAAAUUUGAAAUCAACCCAGUUAAGCUUCCAACCUGUGAAAGGGGAUUAAAAAAAAAGCUUAAGUCCAGGUAUGACAGAACAUAUCUUUAAUCCCAACAAUCAGAAAGUAGAGGCAUGCAGAUCUUUAAAUUCAAUGAGUCCAGAGUUCUAAGAGACAUGUGGAGAUUUAUUGACAUGGUUAUGGGCUUGAAUGGUGGCAUGCUCUCCCCAAAAAAUGCCAGAAGGGGUUUGUUUAUAUUGGAAGUAGGAGAGGAGCAGGGCCAGGGCCUUUAAGUAAAUCUUGAGGCAGAGACCUGUUUCCCUGCCCUCUACCUGGGCCUUAUGUUACAUGGAGACCUCGUGUCAGGUCUCUGGGCUCUGUGGGCGUGGCCAAACACCCCAGGAUUUCCACAGUCCUACACCCAUAUUACAGGAAUUCCUUAUAAUUGUCAAGGAAAAGAGAUUGUGAAACAGCCCCAUGGACCUUUAAAACAAUAUCUUCAUAAAAUAAUAAAGGGGGAGAUAUCUGCAUA